GUUGGUAUUGCUAGCAAGAUAUUGCCGUCUUUUUUAUCUCUGUCAACAAACAUCAUGAAUAACUUUCUGAAAAGCUGACAUCUCUCCAGUGUCCUUCAGCUACCUAUAAGCAAGGUGGUCCUUGAAGCUUUGUUUCUGGGCACAACUUUUCUUGUGAUGCUCAGUGUUAACCUACGACCUACACCUUACUCAAUACAACUCAUGCUGGAGAACAUGUGGAACCCGAGUUCUAUUCUACUGCCGAUGAUGGACAGUCUAACGAUGGUAUGGAAUCAAUGGAAAAGUAGGUAUUGACCACAUGAGAAGCAAUGGGAAAUGUUUGCCUCUGUAUAAAUAGAAAGAAAACACAGCCUGGUCACUUUAUAGGGCUGGAGAUUUCAAUGCAGGCAAAGCAGGGGAAAAAAAAUGAUCUACUAUCAUUUGUAAAGCCUUGUAAAGGAAAAGUGCAAAGCAAAGGAAAGGAGGGACGUGGGCAAUCUGCCCACUGCAGAAGUGAGGAGAACUCGGAAAGCUCUUCAGAUCCCACAUGCCAUCCAUCAUGGCUUGGAAAGCUUUUCAGUUAAGUGCAAGGCAAAGUGGCUGUGAAUUUAAUUCCUUGUGCACAGGUUAGUGAUGUUAAAUAAAUGCUUUCUUUGCUUGCAUAGUCUAAUACAAGUUCCUUCUUAGGUCAUAUAUUUAGUUUGAAUCAAUUGUAUCAAGGACCAUAACCUUAAUAGAUGUUAAUGAAAUGGAAAAAUAAAAAAGGUGCUAAUUUGCUGCAGUUACUGAUCAAAACUCUAUAAAAUAAAAUUACUGAGCAUCCACACCAAUGGCUUAUCCUCCUUUCCAGUCCUUUGUGCUCUACCAGUGAAGACCAAGAGGAAAGUCAGCAUUGGGUACCAACUGGUGCAUCAUCAAAAUGUGGAACAGAUGUGAUUGAAUAAAUCAUGCAUUUAUAGUGAACAAACACAAGAGGGUGCAAUAAGCAUGUCCAGAGACUUUAGCUGUCAUGGAAACAACUUCAGCUCAGAAACUGCAACUCUUAAUGCAUAUCCUUUGAUUUGUGUCUGUUAUUUAGAGGCCAUC